rnacentral:rRNA from 1 species
GGAAUUGUUCACAAUGGGCGCAAGCCUGAUGACGCAAUGCCGCGUGGAGGAUGAAGGUCUUCGGAUUGUAAACUCCUGUUGCCAGGGACGAAUGGCUCCGACCUAAUACGUCGGAGAAUGACGGUACCUGGUGAGGAAGCCCCGGCCAACUACGUGCCAGCAGCCGCGGUAACACGUAGGGGGCGAGCGUUGUCCGGAAUCAUUGGGCGUAAAGAGCUCGUAGGCGGCUCAGUCAGUCGGGUGUGAAACCCCCAGGCUCAACCUGGGGACGCCAUCCGAUACUGCUGUGGCUAGAGUCCAGUAGAGGAGUGUGGAAUUCCCGGUGUAGCGGUGAAAUGCGCAGAUAUCGGGAGGAACACCAACGGCGAAGGCAGCACUCUGGGCUGGUACUGACGCUCAUGCACGAAAGCGUGGGGAGCAAAC